CGGACACGACAGGGGAGCGCUUCCCGGGGAUACCCGGGGCCAGGGCGCUGAGAGUGCGGAACGCCGCAGACCCUCGAACCUGAUCCGGCUCGCACCGGCGUAGGGAGUCGAGUCUCGUCCCCU
rnacentral:ncRNA from 2 species